rnacentral:rRNA from 1 species
GCUAACUUCGGGGGUGUGGGCUGGGUAAUAGGAAGGAGGCGAUGGUUAUCCGGAUUUAUUGGGUUGAAAGGGGGCGUAGGCGGGCUUAGAAGGCAGGGGUGAAAGACGAGCGCUUAACGAUAGACGGGCCAUUGAUACUGUAGGGCUUGAGUAUAGAUGCCGUUGGCGGAAUGUGUCAUGUAGCGGUGAAAUGCAUAGAUAUGACACAGAACACCGAUUGCGAAGGCAGCUGACGAAACUAUAACUGACGCUGAUGCACGAAAGCGUGGGGAUCAAACAGGAUUAGAUACCCCGGUAGUC